UUAUUAUUCCCAUCGCCUGAAAAUUACGGAUCAUUUUGUAACGGGGCACGCAAUACUGUAAGCCAACAGCAUUAUUACGUGGUAUUGCGUGGAAUGGCAUUAAUUUUAACGCGCGCUUUGAUUAAGGUGGUAAGCACAAUCACAGAGAUCUAAGGCAAGCGACAGAUGGCUCAAUAUUGUCUCGGCUAGGGGUUAGAGUUAUUUCGAGCGAGAAUGAGAGUAAUUUACACGUUGUAUGCUGCCAUAUCAUAAGAGUGUUUGGGUCUAGCCGGUGAUCAGUUUUUUUUUUUUCCUUUCCACAGUAGAGAGGGAUUUUUGGCGUCAUCUCGUACUAUGAAAUACUCUUGUACUUUGAAUUACCCUUGUACUUUGCAGCACUUGGAAAGCUGUCCACUAUUUUCAUAACCAAGCAGAACUAAAACCCAACAUAUACUGCUCGUUUUCUAAACGUCUCACGAACUAAUAGCCAGCUAAGACACUUCAAAGUACGAUUUUGAAUAUAUCAACAAAGAUUUUAUUUAUGACCCCCAUAUCUUUUUGUAGUACCAAAACAACAUAUCUAAUUAAUACAUUUUAUAUAAAUAAUAAACAACAAAAUUAUUAACGACCUCCCUUUCGUUGCUUUGAAAUCCUCCACUCAUCGGGUUUUUCAAAUCGAUUGUACAAUGGUAGCACCUUGAGAUUUUUCUUGGUUUUGGAAACUUGAUUUGCAUUGGCAAAUUUAAAGAAUGUUGGUGCAACUUCCACAAGCCAUUUUGGAUUCACUGUGCUUACCGUGUGCAUGUAUUCUUUUGACGUUUGAAUCAGUUCAUGGUAUAUCACCCACUCUGCAGCUUUUCCAAAUAAAACUCCACUAGGAUGCAUGUAUACAGGAGCAUUCUCCACGAUCGUUUUGUAACAUCCCUCGUGAGAGUCUCGCUUGGCAACAUUGGUAAAGUAGCCAGAACACAAAGCCCGUAAAAUAAGUUCUCUCUUUCUUCCACAUGAAACAACUGGGUGUCGAUACCGAUCCAUUAGGCGAAUAAGCUGUUUGCGUACAUCUUCAGCUCGACGCAUACCACGGGCUUGGAUAUAAUGUUCAUAACACCAAUUAUCUGAGCAACGAUUCAUUUUCCAAGUCGUAUACACAUUAAGUAAGGUUAAGUGAUCACUCUCAGGAUUUGCAAAUUGUGCUCGUUGUCGAUCAGCUUCUUGCUGCUUCUCCCUUGGUCGGCUCCAAAUGUUAGGUACGCUAAGCAUGGCAAUAAUACUCAACAUUUCUUCAGAGCAACCUAAUUCUACGCUAGUAAUCAAUACUUUUGACAAUUGAGGCUCCAUCGGGAAAUCUGCCAUUUUUCGCCCAAGAGGAGUCAGCAAUCCCUCAUCGUCCAAGGCCGACAGUGCAUACAGAUUUUGCAAGGCGGCUAUCAUGGUUUGAGCAGGUGGAGGAUCCAUAAAAUCAAAAUUCAAAAGGUCGUUAAUUCCCAUUGCCUUUAACAUCAAAAUAGUAUGCGACAAAUUUUGGCGUUGUAUCUCAGGAAUCGGGGAAGGCAACAUUUCGUUUCGGUAAGCGCUUUCAGUAUACAGACGAUAACAUUUUCCGGGUCCUGUACGCCCUGCACGACCACUUCUUUGCCUAGCUUGUGCUUGAGAAAUUGGCGUAACUAUUAGAGAAUCCAUGCCUAGUUUUGGAUCAAAGCAGCUCUGCUUGACAAACCCAGGGUCCACCACAUAAUAAAUUCCAUCAAUUGUUAAACUAGUUUCAGCAAUGUUGGUUGCAAUUACUACCUUACGACCUCCUGGGGGAGCAGGUUCAAAAAUACGACUUUGUAUUUCCGAAGGAAGCGCUGAAUAAACAGGUAAAAUAACUAGCUCAGGAAUCGAAUCUCCUAGCAUUUUACUUCUUUCAUAUAAUAUUUCACAACUAGUAUCAAUUUCUUCUUGACCUGUCAGAAAUACUAAUAUAUCACCAGGUCCUUCGCUCAAGUGGAUUUGCAUAACAGUCAUCAAAGCAGCAUCAAGAUAGUCGGCUUCUGGUUGUUUUGUAUACAUGAUUUCGACGGGAUAUGAACGCCCAGGAAUCGUAAAAAUUGGGCAUUUAUAGAAAUAAGACGAAAACCGCUCAGCAUCUAGCGUGGCUGAAGUAACAAUUAGCUUUAAAUCUGGCCGUUUCAAAACAGUUCCCUUUAACAGUCCAAAAAGUACAUCAGUUGCAACGGUUCUUUCAUGUGCUUCAUCUAAAAUAAUUACAGAAUAUUUGGACAAAAGAGGAUCAACUAAACAUUCUCGUUGAAGCAUACCAUCAGUCAUAUAUUUAAUUUGGGUCAUUCUACUGGUCUUAUCUUCGAAACGAAUAGUGUAACCAACCUCUUCACCAACACGACAUCCCACUUCUUCUGCUACACGUUUGGCAACAGACAUUGCAGCUACACGCCUAGGUUGAGUACAACCUAUCAUUUUGCUAUCACUGGUAUAACCUUCUUCAGCAAGAUAUUGAGUGAUUUGAGUGGUCUUACCGGAACCGGUUUCACCGAGUAGAACCAAAAUUUGGUUUUUUGAGACAGCCUCGAGAAACUGUUUACGAAGUUUAAAAACUGGAAGACCCUCUCUUUGCUCUUUCAUGCUCAGUGUUGUUCUUUUACCGUAGGAUAUAUUUGCAUUUCGUGUUGCUUGACGCCAGCUGGGAGUUUCAGAAGUAAGUUGACGAGCAGCUGAGUCUCGCACAUCUUGGGCAAAUUUCCGAUCCUGAGGAUUCGACAUAGUGUCUUGCCAUGAGAGGGAUAAGUCUUGCUUUUCCAUUUCUUGUUCACUCUUUAAUUUUGCCUCCUUUUGUCUUAUUUCUCGUCUAUCAUUUGCUAAAAUCUGCCCUUGCAUUGCUGCUCUGGACAAUGAACCAUCCGGGGCCUUUACAACUUUUAUAGGAGAUAGCUUUAAUGAAACUUUGGUUUGUCCUGCGAGAAAUCCAGGUUCUUCUUCACGAAGUUCGAUUUCUACGUCUUCAUCAUCUUCGGGAUUAAUUUCCGCAGCAUUAUUAGUAUUGAAUCCAUCGUUGAGUUCAGGAAUAUCCGUAGCGGAAAUUGCACCGGAUGCAGCAAGUUGCUGUAACUCCCAUAUUUCAGGUGAUGUUAAACGCUUCCGACCGUUUGAAGUGAACGUUUCAAGUGGAUUCACAUGUCCAAUUUCAGAAUUUUGGGCUGAUAAUGGAAUAGCGUUUGCUCCACUACCCUUCUUUGUAGAACGUGAAACUUGAUCCGGAUUCAAAUCCUCACCUGUAACUUGAUUCACCUCCUUCAUUGACAGGCUGAUUCGCUUUGCUGAUUCAUCAAUUCUAAUAACUUUUACAAAUACAGGUUGUCCAUAGCUAACAGCCUCUGAAGGAUGAUCCAAUCUCCCAUUUAAUUGGAUAUUUGAGAUAUGAACCAAACCAUCAGUUCUCUUUCUAAAGCCGUCCAAAGUUACAAAGGCACCAAAGUCCUUAAUACCUGAGACAACACCAGAAUAAAUUCCAUACAAUGUUGGAGCAUUUAGCAAUGGACCACGCGAUGAUCGACUAGAAUGUGAUUGACCAGAAAUUGAGGUACGUGAAUGAUGCGAAAAACUGGGACUAAUUGAUCUCUCUCUACGUUCCCUUAUUCCAUUGAGGUAAUGCCGCUCAUCCCUCCUAGAAUCCCUAUCGUUUCUCCUUGUUUUGGCCAACGUCGAAAGUUCUUCCAGCUCGUCCAUAGCAUUAUCCAUAAGCGCUGGUCUAUCCCUUAAAUUAUUCGUGCUAUUUGGGAUGCUUAAGCCAGGAAACAUCUUUCUUUGGUGUUGUUUGUCAACAUCUUUGCUAUCUAAAUCAUGCGAAGCUCCAUUGACCGAGUUACUACCAUUAUUUACAUUAUCAGUGGGAAUGUCAUCUUUAGGCUUAAUUUCCUUAAUUAAUCGACUUAUGUUUUGAAGGAAACUGUCGGUGAAUUCUCCUCCACAUGAAAGGACAUUAUUUUUAAACUCAUCGUAAUUCUUAGACUGAUCAUGCAAAUUAAUAAUAAAUUCUGCAAGAGUAUUAUCGUCAAUUCCUAGAUUUGGUUAAUUAUUUAUAAAAAAAUGAGUAUUAAAGCCUACUACUUACCAGUAUGAUUUCGAAUUUCAGAGGCAACUUUAGAUACCAAGGAUAAAUACUCCAAUUCUUUCAGAUCGUCCAUUAUUGUCUUUUCUCCCACUAGGAUUCACUAAAAAUUAAAUCGAAGUUUGAAGAAGACUUUCAAAAUUGCUCCAUACCAAACAUAGGUGUAUGGUUAAAAAUGAAACGCGUGCAAUAGACAAUCGCGUUUCCUAACUUUGUACAAAUAAAUAUUCAUGGCUGUCAACGCAACGAGUUGCGCCAAAGGCAAAUAAGGUAGCUGAAUUACAGUUCGUUAUAAUAAUGUCGAGGCUCUACUUAUUAUUUGAACUUUGAGUCCGUGUUGUUUACAAUAGGAACUGGGGUGAGUUUCGUACCUUAUUAAGAAAUAAUUUUUGCAACUUGAAUGUUUAAUUACUGUCAAAGUUUACGUAAGGUAUUUCUAGAAUGUUUUAAUGGCUAAAUCAAUGACAGGGCGUAGCG
rnacentral:lncRNA from 1 species